rnacentral:rRNA from 1 species
AUUGAACGCUGGCGGCAUGCCUUACACAUGCAAGUCGAACGGUAACAGGUCUUCGGAUGCUGACGAGUGGCGAACGGGUGAGUAAUACAUCGGAACGUGCCUAGUAGUGGGGGAUAACUACUCGAAAGAGUGGCUAAUACCGCAUGAGAUCUACGGAUGAAAGCAGGGGAUCGCAAGACCUUGUGCUACUAGAGCGGCCGAUGGCAGACUAGGUAGUUGGUGGGAUAAAAGCUUACCAAGCCGACGAGCUGUAGCUGGUCUGAGAGGACGAUCAGCCACAAUGGGACUGAAACACGGCCCAGACUCCUACGGGGGGCAGCAGUGGGGAAUUUUGGACAAUGGGCGAAAGCCUGAGCCAGCAAUGCCGCGUGCAGGAUGAAGGCCUUCGGGUUGUAAACUGCUUUUGUACGGAACGAAAAGCCCCGGGUUAAUACCCUGGGGUCAUGACGGUACCGUAAGAAUAAGCACCGGCUAACUACGUGCCAGCCGCCGCCGUAA